rnacentral:rRNA from 1 species
GACGAACGCUGGCGGCGUGCUUAACACAUGCAAGUCGAACGGAAAGGCCCUGCUUUUGUGGGGUGCUCGAUUGGCGAACGGGUGAGUAACACGCGUGUAACCUGCCCUUGACUGUGGGAUAACUUCAGGAAACUGGGGCUAAUACCGGAUAGGAGCUCCUGCUGCACGGUGGGGGUUGGAAAGUUACGGCGGUUGUGGAUGGACUCGCGGCUUAUCAGCUUGUUUGUGGGGUAGUGGCUGACCAAGGCUUUGACGGGUAGCCGGCCUGAGAGGGUGAACGGCCACAUUGGGACUGAGAUACGGACCAGACUCCUACGGGAGGCAGCAGUGGGGAAUCUUGCAGAAUGGGCGGAAGCCUGAUGCAGCAACGCCGCGUGCGGGAUGACGGCCUUCGGGUUGUAAACCGCUUUCGAAUGUGACGAAGCGUGAGUGACGGUAAUGGGUAAAGAAGCACCGGCUAACUACGUG